AAAAAAAUAUGCAGAUGUCACGCUGAUUUACUGACUCAGCACCUUUUCGCUGAAUUUGUCACCUACGGUGGGCUACCGGCCUCGAAAUGAGAACCUGGGCGCAUGCGCGUAUAUCGCAUCUAGGACAAUUUUAUUGUCAAGAGGAGGGAGAUAGGUAAUUAUGGAACGUUUUUAAAGCUGUUUUUGUAUUUUGACGGUCUGUGGCUAAGGCUGGAGAGUGGUGAAGAAUAAUCCUUCAACAGAAAUGUCUGCAAGAUUGUUCAAAACAUUGUUUUCUUUUUUAUUUUGAUUUAAGACUCUUCAAUUGACAUAAUUACAGGAAAUAGCAUGUUCAUUAAAUGCAUCAAGCCAUGAGUUUGGGAAGUGAACUACUAUAGAGUGAUCAGUGAAUGGAUAUGUUGGACUUUGUGCAUAGUUGUGCGAAGUGGUGAAGUAACUUGGCUUGAAUUUAGAUUCAUCCCUGCUCUCCUAAUUUCUAAAAAAAAAAGUUCUUAAAUUUUCUUCCCAAUUGUACUGUGUCCACGUUGCAAGGAUGGAUUGCGAGUUGGUUGGAUUAGUGGAAACAUUUGCCUACAAAGUGUUGCAUGUCGUUAAGCACUGCUGGCAAUGCUUAUGGUAUGUGCUGUGUUGGACUUUGUGCAUAGUUGUGCGAAGUGUUGAAGCAACUUUGCUUAAAUUCAGAUUCAUCCCUAGUCUGCUAAUUUUUCAAAAGGUUUAAGUUUCUUCAAUUUUCUUCCUGUUUGUACUGUGUUCAUGUUCCAAGGAUGGGUUGUGAGCUGGUUGGAUUAGUGGAAACAUUUGCCUGCAGAGUGUUGCAUGUUGUUUAGCACUAGUAUUAUUUGCUAGCAGUGCCUAUGGUUAAUUGUUGCUUGUGCAAUUUCAGAAAAAAUAUAUAGAACUUGAUUAAUUAUA